GACGAACGCUGGCGGCGUGCUUAACACAUGCAAGUCGAACGGAAAGGCCCUGCUUGCAGGGUACUCGAGUGGCGAACGGGUGAGUAACACGUGGGUGAUCUGCCCUGCACUUCGGGAUAAGCCUGGGAAACUGGGUCUAAUACCGGAUAGGUGCCAUUUUUAGUGUGAUGGUUGGAAAGUUUUUUCGGUGUAGGAUGAGCUCGCGGCCUAUCAGCUUGUUGGUGGGGUAAUGGCCUACCAAGGCGGCGACGGGUAGCCGGCCUGAGAGGGUGGACGGCCACAUUGGGACUGAGAGACGGCCCAGACUCCUACGGGAGGCAGCAGUGGGGAAUAUUGCACAAUGGGCGCAAGCCUGAUGCAGCGACGCCGCGUGGGGGAUGACGGCCUUCGGGUGGUAAACUCCUUUCGCUAGGGACGAAGCUUUUGUGACGGUACCUAGAUAAGAAGCACCGGCUAACUACGU
rnacentral:rRNA from 1 species